UACGGAGGGUGCAAGCGUUGUCCGGAAUCAUUGGGCGUAAAGAGUUCGUAGGUGGUAUGUUAAGUCUGGUGUUAAAGCCCGAAGCUCAACUUCGGUUCGGCACUGGAUACUGGCAAACUUGAAUGCGGUAGAGGUAAAGGGAAUUCCUGGUGUAGCGGUGAAAUGCGUAGAUAUCAGGAGGAACAUCGGUGGCGUAAGCGCUUUACUGGGCCGUAAUUGACACUGAGGAACGAAAGCCGGGGUAGCAAAUGGG
rnacentral:rRNA from 1 species